rnacentral:rRNA from 1 species
CUGGCGGCGUGCCUAACACAUGCAAGUCGAGCGAGGAGAUUCCUUCGGGAUGAUCCUAGCGGCGGACGGGUGAGUAACACGUGGGCAACCUGCCUCAUAGAGAGGAAUAGCCUUCCGAAAGGGAGAUUAAUACCUCAUAACAUUGCAGUUUCGCAUGGAACAGCAAUUAAAGGAGUAAUCCGCUAUGAGAUGGGCCCGCGGCGCAUUAGCUAGUUGGUGAGGUAACGGCUCACCAAGGCGACGAUGCGUAGCCGACCUGAGAGGGUGAUCGGCCACAUUGGGACUGAGACACGGCCCAGACUCCUACGGGAGGCAGCAGUGGGGAAUAUUGCACAAUGGGGGAAACCCUGAUGCCAGCAACGCCGCGUGAGUGAUGACGGCCUUCGGGUUGUAAAGCUCUGUCUUCAGGGACGAUAAUGACGGUACCUGAGGAGGAAGCCACGGCUAACUACGUGCCAGCCGCCGC